CAAAUAAGGAAGAGGAACAAGGGGAGAUGAUGGUACAGUAAGUUGGCAAUGAUGCUUUGAAAAUCAAUGGACAGACAUUCACAUUUGAUUCAGUUGCUGACAUUGAUUCGACAUAGCUGGAUGUUUUCCAGCUUGUUGGACUCGCUCUCAUUGAAAAUUGUUUUGCUGGAUUUAACAGUUCAGUGUUUGCCUAUGGGCAGACAGGGAGUGGAAAGACUUAUACCAUGUGGGGACCAGCUAACGCCUUGUUGGAAGAAAACUUAUCAAGUGAUCAACAAGGCUUAACUCCCUAUAUUUUUGAGCGACUCUUUUCCCGCAUAAAUGAG